rnacentral:rRNA from 1 species
GUCUACGUCCAUACCACCCUGAACGCACCCGAUCUCGUCUGAUCUCGGAAGCUAAGCAGGGUUGGGCCUGGUUAGUACUUGGAAGGGAGAAAUCUGUGUUAUCUUCU